CACCAGACUCCUACGGGAGGCAGCAGUGGGGAAUAUUGCACAAUGGGGGAAACCCUGAUGCAGCGACGCCGCGUGAGCGAUGAAGUAUUUCGGUAUGUAAAGCUCUAUCAGCAGGGAAGAAAAUGACGGUACCUGACUAAGAAGCCCCGGCUAACUACGUGCCAGCAGCCGCGGUAAUACGUAGGGGGCAAGCGUUAUCCGGAUUUACUGGGUGUAAAGGGAGCGUAGACGGCUGUGCAAGCCAGAUGUGAAAGCCCGGGGCUCAACCCCGGGACUGCAUUUGGAACUGUGUGGCUGGAGUGUCGGAGAGGCAGGCGGAAUUCCUAGUGUAGCGGUGAAAUGCGUAGAUAUUAGGAGGAACACCAGUGGCGAAGGCGGCCUGCUGGACGAUGACUGACGUUGAGGCUCGAAAGCGUGGGGAGCAAACAGGAUUAGAUACCCGAGUA
rnacentral:rRNA from 1 species